rnacentral:rRNA from 1 species
UUGUUUNNNGGGAGAGGUCGGAUAUGGGCGUNGCGCGCGCAGGCGGUUUCUUAGUCUGAUGUGAAAGCCCCCGGCUCAACCGGGGAGGGUCAUUGGAAACUGGGGAACUUGAGUGCAGAAGAGGAGAGUGGAAUUCCACGUGUAGCGGUGAAAUGCGUAGAGAUGUGGAGGAACACCAGUGGCGAAGGCGACUCUCUGGUCUGUAACUGACGCUGAGGCGCGAAAGCGUGGGGAGCGAACAGGAUUAGAUACCCUGGUAGUCCACGCCGUAAACGAUGAGUGCUAAGUGUUAGAGGGUUUCCGCCCUUUAGUGCUGCAGCAAACGCAUUAAGCACUCCGCCUGGGGAGUACGGUCGCAAGACUGAAACUCAAAGGAAUUGACGGGGGCCCGCACAAGCGGUGGAGCAUGUGGUUUAAUUCGAAGCAACGCGAAGAACCUUACCAGGUCUUGACAUCCUCUGACAACCCUAGAGAUAGGGCUUCCCCUUCGGGGGCAGAGUGACAGGUGGUGCAUGGUUGUCGUCAGCUCGUGUCGUGAGAUGUUGGGUUAAGUCCCGCAACGAGCGCAACCCUUGAUCUUAGUUGCCAGCAUUCAGUUGGGCACUCUAAGGUGACUGCCGGUGACAAACCGGAGGAAGGUGGGGAUGACGUNCAAUCAUCAUGCCCCUUAUGACCUGGGCUACACACGUGCUACAAUGGGCAGAACAAAGGGCAGCGAAGCCGCGAGGCUAAGCCAAUCCCACAAAUCUGUUCUCAGUUCGGAUCGCAGUCUGCAACUCGACUGCGUGAAGCUGGAAUCGCUAGUAAUCGCGGAUCAGCAUGCCGCGGUGAAUACGUUCCCCGGCCUUGUAACACCGGCCGUCCACCACGAGAGUUUGUACACCCCAAAUCGGUGAGUAACUUUUGGAGCCAGCGCCAAAGUGGGACGAUGAUUGGGUGAAUCUACG